rfam:Tstilago hordei, Th4857-4, WGS project CAGI01000000 data, contig: THOR_scaffold_5.00062
GGCCGCUUGGCGUAGUGGUAUCGCGCUUGCUUUGGGAUUGACUUGAAAGAGUUCAAAUUGUGAAUGCAAGAGGUCACGAGUUCGAUCCUCGUAGCGGCCC